ACCCUUAACAUCCAUGGUACUCCAUGGGAACCAUUUUGAUUGUUCUAACUCGAAUGAGUAUUAUAUAUAAAGAUUACUCACAAAAGAAUAAGGGAAAAGGAAAUAAAUAGAUAAAGUGAUAGGUGAGGAUUGAGGCCCUCAUGCCUACGUAUCCUCAUAAUGUAAUGAGGAAUUCAUAGCUCCCCAGUUCAAAGAACUAGUGGUGAGAGAUGAAAAGAAUUGUGAUAACGGGUAUGGUCUAAACCAAAGGAUAAUGUGAUUUUCACUUCAACAAGG
rnacentral:lncRNA from 1 species